rnacentral:rRNA from 1 species
GACGAACGCUGACGGCGUGCUUAACACAUGCAAGUCGAACGGAAAGGCCUCUUUCGGGGGGUACUCGAGUGGCGAACGGGUGAGUAACACGUGAGUAACCUGCCCUUGACUUUGGGAUAACUUCAGGAAACUGGGGCUAAUACCGGAUAGGAGCUCCUGCUGCAUGGUGGGGGUUGGAAAGUUUCGGCGGUUGGGGAUGGACUCGCGGCUUAUCAGCUUGUUGGUGGGGUAGUGGCUUACCAAGGCUUUGACGGGUAGCCGGCCUGAGAGGGUGACCGGCCACAUUGGGACUGAGAUACGGCCCAGACUCCUACGGGAGGCAGCAGUGGGGAAUAUUGCACAAUGGGUGGAAGCCUGAUGCAGCAACGCCGUGUGCGGGAUGACGGCCUUCGGGUUGUAAACCGCUUUCGCUCAUGACGAAGCUUUGUGUGACGGUAGUGGGUAAAGAAGCACCGGCUAACUACGUG